rnacentral:rRNA from 1 species
GAUGAACGCUGGCGGCGUGCCUAAUACAUGCAAGUCGAGCGAACAGACGAGGAGCUUGCUCCUCUGACGUUAGCGGCGGACGGGUGAGUAACACGUGGAUAACCUACCUAUAAGACUGGGAUAACUUCGGGAAACCGGAGCUAAUACCGGAUAAUAUAUUGAACCGCAUGGUUCAAUAGUGAAAGACGGUUUUGCUGUCACUUAUAGAUGGAUCCGCGUCGCAUUAGCUAGUUGGUAAGGUAACGGCUUACCAAGGCAACGAUGCGUAGCCGACCUGAGAGGGUGAUCGGCCACACUGGAACUGAGACACGGUCCAGACUCCUACGGGAGGCAGCAAUAGGGAAUCUUCCGCAAUGGGCGAAAGCCUGACGGAGCAACGCCGCGUGAGUGAUGAAGGUCUUCGGAUCGUAAAACUCUGUUAUUAGGGAAGAACAAAUGUGCAAGUAACUAUGCACGUCUUGACGGUACCUAAUCAGAAAGCCACGGCUAACUACGUG